rnacentral:lncRNA from 1 species
AUGCAAAAACAGUAAUGUAACAAUAGUCCAAAAAAAUAUUAUUCUAAUUCACAUAUCCAUUUUUCAUUCAAAGCAUCAUCUUAUAAAAUUCAUAAAACCCAUAUAAAUUCAUUAACAAUUUAUUCGAUGCAAAAAUAAUAUUAUAUAAAUGAAGAGUCUAGAAAAGGCAGUUCAUUACUUACAUCGAACGCGAUCCACAACAAAUCCAAUUAAUCUCAUAAAUCCCUCGCAGAACCUAAUAUCCAAAAAUCAUAUUUUUCUUUUAAAAUUCAUCACAAUAUAUAUAAAACUUAAAUUUUAACAUUCUCCUAGGGCCGACCCUGCAGAAGUGUCUAGCCCCCCCCCGGGUUCGGGUUCGGAUUCGGGUUCAUACCCGUAAACCAUCCUCUCCCUUUGUUUAUUUAUUUAUUUUUUUCUUUUCUUUUUCUUGCUUUUUCUUUUCUUUUAUUUUCUUUUCUUUUCUUUUUCUUUUCUUUUCUUUCCUUCCCUUCCUUUUUUUUU